rnacentral:rRNA from 1 species
AUUGAACGCUGGCGGAAUGCUUUACACAUGCAAGUCGAACGGCAGCACGGGAGCUUGCUCCUGGUGGCGAGUGGCGAACGGGUGAGUAACACGUCGGAACGUAUCCAUUAAUGGGGGAUAACGCAGCGAAAGCUGUGCUAAUACCGCAUACGCCCCGAGGGGGAAAGCAGGGGAUCUUCGGACCUUGCGUUAUUGGAGCGGCCGACGUCUGAUUAGCUAGUUGGUGGGGUAAAGGCCUACCAAGGCGACGAUCAGUAGCUGGUCUGAGAGGAUGAUCAGCCACACUGGAACUGAGACACGGUCCAGACUCCUACGGGAGGCAG